UACGAAGGGGGCUAGCGUUGUUCGGAAUCACUGGGCGCAAAGCGCACGUAGGCGGAUGUGCCAGUCAGGGGUGAAAUCCCGGAGCUCAACUCCGGAACUGCCUCUGAUACAGCACGUCUUGAGUUCGAGAGAGGUGGGUGGAAUUCCUAGUGUAGAGGUGAAAUUCGUAGAUAUUAGGAAGAACACCGGUGGCGAAGGCGGCCCACUGGCUCGAUACUGACGCUGAGGUGCGAAAGCGUGGGGAGCAAACAGG
rnacentral:rRNA from 1 species